rnacentral:rRNA from 1 species
GAUGAACGCUGGCGGCGUGCCUAAUACAUGCAAGUCGAGCGAACAGACGAGGAGCUUGCUCCUCUGACGUUAUCGGCGGACGGGUGAGUAACACGUGUAUAACCUACCUAUAAGACUGGGAUAACUUCGGGAAACCGGAUCUAAUACCGGCUAAUAUCUUGAACCGCAUGGUUCAAUAGUUAAAUACGGUUUUUCUGUCUCUUAUAGAUUGUUCCGCUCCGCAUUAGCUAGUUGGUAAGGUAACGGCUUACCAAGGCAACGAUGCGUAGCCGACAUGAGAGGGGGAUCGGACACACUGGAACUGAGACACGGUCCAGACACCUACGGGAGGCAGCAGUAGGGAAUAUUCCGCAAUGGGCGAAAGCAUGACGGAGCAACGCCGCGUGAGUGAUGAAGGUCUUCGGAUCGUAAAACUCUGUUAUGAGGGAAGAACAAAUGUGUAAGUAAAUAUGCACGUAUUGACGGUACCUAAUAAGAAAGCCACGGCUAACUACGUG